rfam:Stomoxys calcitrans breed 8C7A2A5H3J4 unplaced genomic scaffold Scaffold994, whole genome shotgun sequence.
CGUGGUGCAGAGGUUAGCAUUUCCGCCUAUAACGCCGAGCACCUGGGUUCAAAUCCCGGCG